rnacentral:rRNA from 1 species
AUUGAACGCUGGCGACAUGCUUUACACAUGCAAGUCGAACGGCAGCGCGGGCUUCGGCCUGGCGGCGAGUGGCGAACGGGUGAGUAAUGCAUCGGAACGUGCCCAGUAGUGGGGGAUAGCCCGGCGAAAGCCGGAUUAAUACCGCAUACGACCUGAGGGUGGAAGCGGGGGACCGAAAGGCCUCGCGCUAUUGGAGCGGCCGAUGUCGGAUUAGCUAGUUGGUGGGGUAAAGGCUUACCAAGGCGACGAUCCGUAGCUGGUCUGAGAGGACGACCAGCCACACUGGGACUGAGACACGGCCCAGACUCCUACGGGAGGCAGCAGUGGGGAAUUUUGGACAAUGGGGGCAACCCUGAUCCAGCCAUGCCGCGUGCGGGAAGAAGGCCUUCGGGUUGUAAACCGCUUUUGUUCGGGAAGAAAUCCUCUGGGCUAAUACCCCGGGGGGAUGACGGUACCGGAAGAAUAAGCACCGGCUAACUACGUG